rnacentral:ncRNA from 1 species
UUAUGGUUUAUUAAUUUUAUUUAAAGUUUAUUUUACAUAUAAAUUUUAGUGUUAAUUUAUAAUUAUUUUAAUAAUAAUUUUAAUAUUGUAGUAAUUAAUAUUAAAUUAUUUAAGAAAUUAAGAUUUAGUAAUACUUGAAUUAAUAACAAAUUUUGUGCCAGCAGUUGCGGUUACACAAAGAUUAAAUUAAAUUUUAUUAGUAAUAAUUAACAAUUAUAUUUUAUAUUUUAAAUUUUAGAUUAUUAGGUGAAAUUUUAAUUUAAUUAAAUUUUAUAAUAAGAUUGUGAUUUACUAAAUUUUAUAAAAAACUAGGAUUAGAUACCCUAUUAUUAAAAUUUAAAAUUUAUAUACUAAAAUAGUAAAUAAUUAUUUAUUUAAACUUAAAUAAUUUGGCGGUAUUUUAGUUCAUUUAGAGGAAUCUGUUUAAUAAUUGAUAAUCCACGAAUAAAUUUACUUAAUUUAUAAUUUUGUAUAUCGUUGUUAAAAAAAUAUUUUUUAAUAAUAUUAAUAUUUAAAAAUUUUUAUAAUAAAUUAAAUCAGAUCAAGAUGCAGAUUAUAAUUAAGAAUAUAAUGGAUUACAAUAAAUUUAUUUAAAUGAAUAUUAAUUUGUAAAAAUUAAUUGAAAGUGGAUUUAAGUGUAAUUUUAUUUAAUUUAGUAAAAUGAUUAAAAAUUAAAAUAUGUACAUAUUGCCCGUCGCUUUCAUAUAAUUAAUAAGUUGAAAUAAGUCGUAACAAAGUAGAGGUACUGGAAAGUGUUUCUAGAAAGAA